rnacentral:rRNA from 1 species
CCUACGGGUGGCAGCAGUGGGGAAUAUUGGGCAAUGGGCGCAAGCCUGACCCAGCAACGCCGCGUGAAGGAAGAAGGCUUUCGGGUUGUAAACUUCUUUUGACAGGGAAGAGUAGAAGCCGGUACCUGUCGAAUAAGCCCCGGCUAACUACGUGCCAGCAGCCGCGGUAAUACGUAGGUGGCAAGCGUUGUCCGGAUUUACUGGGUGUAAAGGGCGUGUAGCCGGGAAGGCAAGUCAGAUGUGAAAUCUGGAGGCUCAACCUCCAGACUGCAUUUGAAACUGUUUUUCUUGAGUACAGGAGAGGCAGGCGGAAUGCCGUGUGUAGCGGUGAAAUGCGUAGAUAUAAGGAGGAACACCGGUGGCGAAGGCGGUCUGCUGGGCAGCAACUGACGGUGAGGCGCGAAAGCGUGGGGAGCAAACAGGAUUAGAUACCCUAGUAGUC